rnacentral:miRNA from 1 species
CACCGCGGGGGACUGGGCAGGGCUGGGCUGGACAGCGGCCAUGGCUCAUGGCUGUCCCGUC